AACGAACGCUGGCGGCAGGCUUAACACAUGCAAGUCGAACGCCCCGCAAGGGGAGUGGCAGACGGGUGAGUAACGCGUGGGAAUCUACCCAACUCUACGGAAUAACUCAGGGAAACUUGUGCUAAUACCGUAUACGCCCUUCGGGGGAAAGAUUUAUCGGAGUUGGAUGAGCCCGCGUUGGAUUAGCUAGUUGGUGGGGUAAAGGCCUACCAAGGCGACGAUCCAUAGCUGGUCUGAGAGGAUGAUCAGCCACAUUGGGACUGAGACACGGCCCAAACUCCUACGGGAGGCAGCAGUGGGGAAUAUUGGACAAUGGGCGCGAGCCUGAUCCGGCCAUGCCGCGUGAGUGACGAAGGCCCUAGGGUUGUAAAGCUCUUUCACCGGUGAAGAUAAUGACGGUAACCGGAGAAGAAGCCCCGGCUAACUUCGUGCCAGCAGCCGCCGUAAUAC
rnacentral:rRNA from 1 species